CCCUACUCUCCUCCCCUCUAGAACCCUCAGUUUGUUUUUCAGAGUCCAUCAUCUGUCAUGAAGUACAGGGCCGUAUCACAUUAUUGACUGAAGGAUCCACAACAGGCUACAGUUUGUGAGUCAAGGAUCAGACUCAUUUUGUGAAAUAGAGCUCAUCAAAAGAACUUUUCUUGAAUCAGUUCAACAGAUUCAGAAUCAGAAGUAUCUUUUUAUUAAAAGCAUAAACACUGGAAUCAUAUUGACCCAGCUCCUCUGGCUCAGGUCAUGAUCCCAGCGCCCUGAGAUCGAGCCCCGCAUAGGGCUCCCUGCUCCACAGGAAGCCUGCUUCUCCCUCUCCCGCUCCCCAUGCUUGU